rnacentral:piRNA from 1 species
UGUUAAAUUUGAGGUGGACGUGGA